rnacentral:rRNA from 1 species
GCUGAGGAGGAGCUUGCUUCUCUGGAUGAGUUGCGAACGGGUGAGUAACGCGUAGGUAACCUGCCUGGUAGCGGGGGAUAACUAUUGGAAACGAUAGCUAAUACCGCAUAAGAGUAGAUGUUGCAUGACAUUUGCUUAAAAGGUGCAAUUGCAUCACUACCAGAUGGACCUGCGUUGUAUUAGCUAGUUGGUGAGGUAACGGCUCACCAAGGCGACGAUACAUAGCCGACCUGAGAGGGKGAUCGGCCACACUGGGACUGAGACACGGCCCAGACUCCUACGGGAGGCAGCAGUAGGGAAUCUUCGGCAAUGGACGGAAGUCUGACCGAGCAACGCCGCGUGAGUGAAGAAGGUUUUCGGAUCGUAAAGCUCUGUUGUAAGAGAAGAACGAGUGUGAGAGUGGAAAGUUCACACUGUGACGGUAUCUUACCAGAAAGGGACGGCUAACUACGUGCCAGCAGCCGCGGUAAUACGUAGGUCCCGAGCGUUGUCCGGAUUUAUUGGGCGUAAAGCGAGCGCAGGCGGUUAGAUAAGUCUGAAGUUAAAGGCKGUGGCUUAACCAUAGUACGCUUUGGAAACUGUUUAACUUGAGUGCAAGAGGG